CAGAGUUCCACAACUCCCAACCCCUGCGAACCGUACCCCAGUUUGUUCUCGUUGCCUCCUGGCGGCGAGCCCCCUGAACCUUUUUUUCUCAACCAGCCCGUCUGAGCAAACAAACAAAUGAAUCA
rnacentral:misc_RNA from 1 species